GCUCCAAUAGCGUAUAUUCAAGUUGUUGCAGUUAAAAAGCUCGUAGUUGAAACUGCUCAGUGCCAGCCUGGUUCACCUAACAGUGAUACCAGUUGCUGGUGCUUUGAUCAAGGGUGUCUGCAGCAUGAUCUUUACUGAUUGUGCUGUCCAGAAUGCUCAGUGUUUACUGUGAAAAAAUUAGAGUGUUUAAAGCAGGCCAA
rnacentral:rRNA from 1 species